GUGCUCGCUUUGGCAGCACAUACACUAAAACUGGAACAAUACAGAGAAGAUUAGCAUGGCCCCUGAGCAAGGAUGACACGCAAAUUUGUGAAAUGCUACAGAUUUAA
ensembl:snRNA U6 U6 spliceosomal RNA